UAACUAGUCAUAAUAUUCAAUCAAGACUAAGAAGUAGAAUCAGGUGUCUUACUGCUGGGCUAGAACGAAAACCUGCAUGCACACAGCUGACUACUGACUGAAGAAAUAGCAGGUUUAAUAUAUCGGUUCCCUUAUGACAGCGAGGGUGACCAUCCUAGAUCCCAGAAGGCCACUGAGUCAGCCGGAUUUUCUUUUCCUCAGCAACCUGCUCUGACCCAAGACAGCAGAGCCAUCGAAACGAGGGGUCACCCGACCAGGGAGGGAAAGGUCUGGGCUCUCCGCGAGUGGGCUCUCCACGUCUGGACCCAUGACUCCAAAACAUCCAAAAUGAGGCGAAGAUUUCCUGCUCCCGUUAACAAAUGUCCCAGCGUGUCUCACCACCUCCCUACACAGGAUAUGUGAUGUCACGGCUCGGAUGUUCUGCACACUCUCAGUGGCACACCUCUUUGACGUACGGUCUAGGAAAUUUAGAUUUAAGACCAUCACAUCGUCUUCGCCUGGAUUCCGGCUGAAGAAAAAAAAAACAUUGCACUUGCAUUC